GCGGCUUCGAGGGAGUCAGAUCAACGCGCGAGCGUCGAGCCACAGAAGGACAAGAGCCGGGCGCUGCGAUCUAGGGUUCUCCUGUCGUAGAAGAGUGUCUUAAGAUUAAUGUGGUUGUGGCAAAGUCUCGGCGGCCAAGGCAGCCGCUGAAAGAGCUUGAGUCACACAUAAUACUCCAUUGUCAGUGCCACCUUGUUUCAGGGCCAAGCCUCCCAAAGGUGGAAGAAAUCUCUCGGAGUUUAUAGCUCACGAGGGCAGCGAUUUGAGGCUGAGAAAGAGUAGUUCUUCUUUAGUUUAUGUUUUGCGUGCUCUGUCGGCUUUGUUCUUGCUAAACGGCUGAAAAAUCUGGCGACGCAGCACUUCGAAGUUCUCGACGAUGUCUUCAUGCACGCCAGAAAGCUAUUCGUCUGGAAGUCGCGAUCCAUCAUCUAGAUCUUACACUUCGGCUCUCUUGUACUUGAAGAUUGUGUUUCGUUUUCUUUGGUGCUCACUCUUUCGUGUUUCUUCUUCUGUUUGCUUGCAGGGCUUAUCACGCUUUACAAUCCUGUGGAAUCACGGGCAGCGAGUGUUGUGCAAAACAGAAUCAGUGAGAUAACCUCUCUGCUCUUGCUACGUUAACAAUCAAUGGUUUCUUCAAAAUGCACACUGAGCUACGAGAUUAAAGAACUUGUCACGUCUAUGCAGCUGCGCGAACUGACCAUGGAACGACUUGUGUUAUAGGUGAUCGAGGUAUUUUUGUUUUUCUUGUGUACAUAAGAUAGUUUAUUAC